rnacentral:tRNA from 1 species
UUUCUGAAAGCUUUGUAGAAGCGGCGGUCUUGUAAGUCGUAGAUGCUUAAUGCUCAGAGAU